UAAUAAUAUCGACUUUUGUCGUAUGUAAUGCGAAAUCGGCUAUGCGAUUCUGUAACUCAUCAUAACGAUAUUUAACGUUACAAAACGUGAUAUCAAAACGUCCUUAUUUAACGUUGUGAUUGCAAACCAAUAGAAAGUCAUAUACGUAUCUCUUGUGCAACGACCUUAAAGAAAAGUUUGUUUAGUUUUGUUAAAGUGAUGAGUCGCCUUCGGGCCGUUGAGUGGAUGGGAUGAGUUUUAUCCCUACAGUAAUUUUUAUUACGUCAUCACGCAUUCUCGGUUUUUGCUCAUCACGCAUUUUUUUUUAUCUUUGUUCAUUACAACUUUCUUUUGGAUUAAUUAUUUUUCGCAUUGAAUCGUGGCCUGUGUUGGUUGUUUGAAAGCCAUUUUCCAGGAGUAUCAAUAUCAAUAUCGUUAAAGUGAUGUGCAAGUUUGCAAUAGAAAUCCGUAUUACAGUAAAAAAGGAGAGAAAAAAAGAUAAGCAAAGACAACAUUAGCACAAGUGGAUUAUAUAAUCGAUUAUCUCGUUCAAUAUCCACAUGCAAUGGGAAAGUUUAAAAGUCUCUAUGAUAAUGCAGAUUUAAGAGGAUCUUGGCAAUUAGUGAAAGAGCUUAAUAGGCAGAAUAUGACAAAAGAUGGAAAAAUCAAAGACGUGAAAUCGUGGAAAGCGGAAUAAUUGGUUCAAAAUUUCUUUUAAACAUGGCGAGACAACAAAACCGCGAUCUCUAAAAAAAUAGCAAAAAUUCGAGCCAGUCAAGCUGCAACAGGAAACAUUGGUGGUUCUUCUGAAAUUAACUGAACGAGAACAAAAAA